CCUACGGGAGGCUGCAGUGAGGAAUAUUGGUCAAUGGGCGCGAGCCUGAACCAGCCAAGUCGCGUGAGGGAUGACGGCCCUACGGGUUGUAAACCUCUUUUGCCGGGGAGCAACGGGCGCCACGUGUGGCGCCACUGAGAGUACCUGGAGAAAAAGCAUCGGCUAACUCCGUCCCAGCAGCCGCGGUAAUAAGGAGGAUGGGAGCGUUAUCCGGAUUGAUUGGGUUUAAGGGGUGCGUGGGGGGAGGUUAAAGCCAGUGGGCAAAUUUUGGGCCUCAACCCCUUCCCGCCAUUGAAACUGGCGCUCUUGAGUGGAAGAGAGGUAUGCGGAAUGCGUGGUGUAGCGGUGAAAUGCAUAGAUAUCACGCAGAACCCCGAUGGCGAAGGCAGCAUGCCGGCUUCCUACUGACGCUGAAGCACGAAAGCGUGGGGAUCGAACAGGAUUAGAUACCCGAGUAGUC
rnacentral:rRNA from 1 species